GGGGUUGUGGCUCAGUGGUAGAGUGCUCACCUAGCAAAUGCGAGGCUCUGCGUUCGAUCCUCAGCACCACA
rnacentral:tRNA from 1 species